UGAGGUGCUUGCACCUCUUGGUUAGCGGCGGACGGGUGAGUAACACGUGGGCAACCUGCCUGUAAGACUGGGAUAACUUCGGGAAACCGGAGCUAAUACCGGAUAAUCCUUUUCCUCUCAUGAGGAAAAGCUGAAAGUCGGUUUCGGCUGACACUUACAGAUGGGCCCGCGGCGCAUUAGCUAGUUGGUGAGGUAACGGCUCACCAAGGCGACGAUGCGUAGCCGACCUGAGAGGGUGAUCGGCCACACUGGGACUGAGACACGGCCCAGACUCCUACGGGAGGCAGCAGUAGGGAAUCUUCCGCAAUGGACGAAAGUCUGACGGAGCAACGCCGCGUGAGCGAUGAAGGCCUUCGGGUCGUAAAGCUCUGUUGUUAGGGAAGAACAAGUACCGGAGUAACUGCCGGUACCUUGACGGUACCUAACCAGAAAGCCACGGCUAACUACGUGCCAGCAGCCGCGGUAAUACGUAGGUGGCAAGCGUUGUCCGGAAUUAUUGGGCGUAAAGCGCGCGCAGGCGGUCCUUUAAGUCUGAUGUGAAAGCCCACGGCUCAACCGUGGAGGGUCAUUGGAAACUGGGGGACUUGAGUACAGAAGAGGAAAGCGGAAUUCCACGUGUAGCGGUGAAAUGCGUAGAGAUGUGGAGGAACACCAGUGGCGAAGGCGGCUUUCUGGUCUGUAACUGACGCUGAGGCGCGA
rnacentral:rRNA from 1 species